AUUGAACGCUGGCGGCAGGCCUAACACAUGCAAGUCGAACGGUGGCACAGAGAGCUUGCUCUCGGGUGACGAGUGGCGGACGGGUGAGUAACGUCUGGGAAACUGCCCGAUGGAGGGGGAUAACUACUGGAAACGGUAGCUAAUACCGCAUAACGUCGCAAGACCAAAGUGGGGGACCUUCGGGCCUCACACCAUCGGAUGUGCCCAGAUGGGAUUAGCUAGUAGGUGGGGUAAUGGCUCACCUAGGCGACGAUCCCUAGCUGGUCCGAGAGGAUGACCAGCCACACUGGAACUGAGACACGGUCCAGACUCCUACGGGAGGCAGCAGUGGGGAAUAUUGCACAAUGGGCGCAAGCCUGAUGCAGCCAUGCCGCGUGUAUGAAGAAGGCCUUCGGGUUGUAAAGUACUUUCAGCGGGGAGGAAGGCGGUGAAGUUAAUAACUUCACCGAUUGACGUUACCCGCAGAAGAAGCACCGGCUAACUCCGUGCCAGCCGCCGCAGUAA
rnacentral:rRNA from 1 species